UGACACCCUCAUACCACCUCUAGGUAUGGAUGUAACCACCCCUAUUCUGCUGAGUACGGUGAGCCCCAGGAGCAGCUGAAAUGGUGAGUGGACUUUGGGUGGAGAAGGAGGGACUGAGGUUUUAGGGGGCCUGUGUCUGGAUUGGGGCUGGCAGACCCUGGGCCCCACACAUCUAGAUUCCACUAGAGGGAUGAGUUUAAAGACACCCCCUGCAGGGCGUAAGCAGUCAUUGAGAGCUAGGAGUGGAACCUGGGCAUCCUGGAUAGUAGAGGGGAGGCUGGGGGCUCAGAGAUGCCCCUGAGAGAAUUCAUCUUCCCACAAUCCCCUCACAUCACCUGUUGCUCCCUCCCCUAUUUGGGGCCCAAAACAGGAGGUGCUGGGGGAGGAGGAGCGGGGGGUGGAGAAAAUUGCUCCCAAAUCCUGAUCACCAGUCAUGGGUGCUCAGCUGCAUGAGGGGCCCCUGUCCCAGGGAAGAACAGUCUCCAUGGGAGAAGAGGCCCUCACAUGCAUGCAGAGAGCCAGGCAGCACGUUGGUGCACACGCUCCAGAGGAGGGGUCCUAUGGCCUGGGCAUCUGGAUCAGGGUACGGUCUCCAUGUGUCGCCCAGCAUCAGAUAAUCCUGGAGCACUACUGAGGUGAACAUGCAGACACACAUCUCCGUUCCCUUAGAGUGUUACUAUCCAGUGCGGAGAGGGCCAGGGGACAGAAAGGGAUGUAAUUCAGGCUCCCCGAGGAGGGAGAGUUGGACAGACCAUUGAUGGGGAGCUCCCAGGGACAAGGCUCUGUGCUAGCCCCAUCAGUGACCAGGCCUGCCACCGUCAGGGCAGCCAGAGGGCAUGAUACAGGGUGGUGCUGACCUUUGGGAGGUCAACGGUACAGGGGUAGACAGAGGGACUCGCCCCUUGCAGGGGUGCCCUGGGAGGGCAGUGUGGUGGGAAAAGCCAGGCUUCUGACCCUGCUUUUCACCACCCACCCCCAGCGCCAUCUCUUUUAUCCUGGGCACAUGGCUAAAGGAAUACUCGGAGGAUUUCAAUCAGCCCCCGGACUUCCCCUGCCUAAAGCUCAUGGUGGAGUAUGUGCACGUGAACAUGCCAGGCUCACAUCUAGAGCACGAUGCCCAACUUCUCUUGGCACGGCUGGAUCAAAUGGAGCUCCAGAGCCGGGGCCAGCGCCAAUUGUAAAAGAAGCUCAAGAGCUAACUCUGCCCCAAGAACCGGCUCCUGGACAAUCUCCUGGGGAAAAUUCUGCUCCUGUAUCAGCACCAGAGCUCCACAGCGCACCACCUAUUAUGUCAUCAGCUCCAGCACUGCUACCAGAUGGAGAGCUGCCUGGAGGGGUGGAUCCCUAUCCUGGGCCACCUCCAGAAAUGGCUCCCGGACCACCAGCUGAUGUCAAUCCUGCUCCUGCUGCUGCUCCAACACUGGAGCUUGAUGUAACCCAGGUCUUCCCCCAGCUCCAUCACCAGCAUCAGAUGGAGACUGAGAUGGAGAGGUGGAUUACCAUCCUCAGCCACCUCCAGAACCGGAUACUGGACCACCAGCUGACAUGGAUCCUGCUCCUGCUCCACCACAGGAGGUCAACAGAGCUCCAGCUAUUCCGUCACAAGCUUUGGCUCUGGCAGCAGAUGGAUAGGCCACUGGACGUUCAGAUUCUUAAGCUGGGCCACCGCCUGAGCCAGAUCCUGGACCACCUUGUGUUGUCGAUCCUGAUCCUGUACCAACACCGAAGCUCAACAGAGCACCACCUAUCCCAUCUCCAGACGGACAGCCAGCAGGAGAGCUGGAUUUUUACCCUAGGCAACUUCCAGAACAGACUCAAGGACCACUUCCUCAGUCAGAUCCUGCUCUUGCAACAACAUUGGAGCUGGGUACAACAACAGGUCCUCCAUCACCAAGUCGAGCACUGGCACCCGACAGAGAGCCUACUGAAAGAUCAGAUUCUCUCCCUGGGCCAAGACCAUAACGAGCUCCUGGAAAGCCUGCUGAGAUCCAUCAUGCGCCUGAACUAACACUGGAGCUCCAUAGAACACCAUCACUAGCUCCAGGACUGGCAGCAAAUGGAGAGCCACCUGGAAGAUCAGAUUCUGGGCUACAUCCAGAACUGGCUCCUGGACCACUGGCUGAUGUCAGUCCUGCUCCUGUUCCUCGACCAACACCAGAGCUCAAUGUAGCCCACAGCCCUCCAUCUCGAUCUCUAGCCCGGGCACCAGGAGAAGAGCCUGAUGGAGGGCUCGAUUCCCAUUCUGGGCCACCUACAGAACUCCUUGCUCAACCACCUGCUCCUGCACAAACACCGGAAGUCCUUAGAGCAACAGCUAUUUCCUCACCAGGUCCAGCAGUGGCACUGGACAAAGAGUCCGCAGGAGGGGCGGAUUUCCAUCCUGGGCCACCUCCAACUGGCUCAUGGACAAACAGCUGAUAUCGAUCCUGCUCCUACUCCAAGACUCGAGCCCCAUAGAAUAUUAAGUCCUCCACUGCUAGCUCUGCCUUGGGCACCAGAGGCGAAGCCACUUGCCAUGCCUCCUCCACAGCAGCUCCUCAUUCACUGCCAGGGAACAUCAGCCUCAGAACCAGACAUUUUCUUUUUCUCACAUCAGUGGGUAUUUUUUUUUUUUUUGCUUUGUUGUAUUUUUCCAGCUCAAUUUAUACUUUAGAGUUUAUACUAUAUUAACUGGUAGUUUUCUCAUUAAAUAAAGUUUUGUUUUAAUAGCUUGAAAGUAUGUAAUAGCAGUGGGUUACCUACUAUCACAAUCCUAUUCAACCAUCAGCACUAUCUACUCUAGAACACUUUCAUUACCACUGGGAUGGUUAAUGUUAUAUGUCAACCUGGGCAGGCCAUGAUUCUCAGGGAUUUGGCAGAAAUUAUGUAAUCAUCCUCCAUUUUGUGAUCUGAUGUGAGCAGCCGAUCUGCUGGAAGAGAAAUUUCCUUGGGGAUAUGGCCUGAAAAAAAUACAUUUUCUGCGGUAUGCAGCCAUUAAUCUG